rnacentral:rRNA from 1 species
GACGAGCGCUGGCGGCGUGCCUAAUACAUGCAAGUCGAGCGAAGUUUUUCUGGUGCUUGCACUAGAAAAACUUAGCGGCGAACGGGUGAGUAACACGUAAAGAACCUGCCUCAUAGACUGGGACAACUAUUGGAAACGAUAGCUAAUACCGGAUAACAGUAUUUCUCGCAUGGGAGAUAUUUAAAAGUUGGUUAUGCUAACACUAUGAGAUGGCUUUGCGGUGCAUUAGCUAGUUGGUGGGGUAAAGGCCCACCAAGGCGACGAUGCAUAGCCGACCUGAGAGGGUGAUCGGCCACACUGGGACUGAGACACGGCCCAGACUCCUACGGGAGGCAGCAGUAGGGAAUCUUCCGCAAUGGGCGAAAGCCUGACGGAGCAACGCCGCGUGAGUGAAGAAGGAUUUCGGUUCGUAAAGCUCUGUUGUUAGGGAAGAAUGGAUAUGUAGUAACUAUACAUGUAAGAGACGGUACCUAACCAGAAAGCCACGGCUAACUACGUG